rnacentral:rRNA from 1 species
UUUCCCUCAGGAUAGCUGGCACUCGCUUGAGCGAGUCUCAUCUGGUAAAGCGAAUGAUUAGAGGCCUUGGGGCCGAAACGACCUCAACCUAUUCUCAAACUUUAAAUGGGUGAGAUCUCUGGCUUGCUUGAACGUUGAAGCCACGAGAAUAUGGAUCAGAGUGCCAAGUGGGCCAAUUUUGGUAAGCAGAACUGGCGCUGUGGGA